GGAGAGGUGGCCGAGAGGUCGAAGGCGGUUGACUCGAAAUCAGCUGUACCCUACGGGUACCGUGGGUUCGAAUCCCACCCUCUCCGCCA
rnacentral:tRNA from 1 species